ensembl:scaRNA small Cajal body-specific RNA 13
UCUUUGCAGUCCUGUGAAGCUGCCCCUUGCAUACCCUGUUGCCUGCGGGUACAACACAGCUGCAGAAAGCAAAUCAAAGAAUGAAAAGGCGUGACUUCUUGAGGCUCAGGAGCUUCACGUGCGAUGUUCCUUGGACAGACCCCCUGCUUUCCACGGUGGUGAUGGUUGUGCUUCGUAGCCAUCACUGUUCUUGAGGCAGGCAGAAAAAAAUGCGACAGCCAGAUAUUGUUUGAAACAGGGAAAGCUCUUCCUGUCAGACACUGUUAAGCUGUCACAAAA